rnacentral:lncRNA from 1 species
UGUUGUAGGCCCGCGGGGUCGGCGACGGCAACAACCGUGGGCAGGAGGUGCCCACGGGUGUCACCUGUCCCCCAGUGGGUGGGCACGUUGUCACCGGCGGUGUCACAGUCGUCCCAAGUCGCGCUGUCACCACGACCAUCUCCGGUGUCACCGCUCCUUCAGGUUGCGACGUCCCCACGACCGUCUCCUCGGGUUGUGGUGGUUGUGGUGACAAGUGAGGUGGUAACGACGACACGUUCAGCGUCACCGCGACCGCCCUGGCUGUCACCACCACCUCUCCUGGUUGUGUUGUCACCGCUUUGGGUGUCACGGCCACCUCUCCUGGUUGUGUUGUCACCGCUUUGGGUGUCACGGCCACCAUCUUGGGUGUCACGGCCACCUCUCCCGCCUGUGUUGUCACCUCAACCUCCCCAGGUUGCGUUGUCACCGUCUCCGCCGGCGCGCUGUAAACCUGAACGCUGACCACUGCCAACAACACCAGGAGGAGCCGCGUGGCCAGGCUGACUUCUUCCGUUGGGGGCGGCCGUCGCACCUGGAGGGGGGGCAACGAAGGGUUAACACACAGCUUUUCGGGAGGUGAAAAGCCUUAAAAUGGGGGACAAACGGCGUUACCAGGGGGAAUUCCCCCCAUUUUCGGCGACGUUCUUGGGGUUCGUGUAGAGGGGACCCAGCUGAGAGCAAAGCCAACCCGAGCCUAAUUAGCUGCUGGGGUUAAUGGGUUAAUAACCCCGCUCCUGCAGGGGCAACGCUGUCUGAAUUCGGGGUUAAAAACUCCCGAAACGAAGGAAAACGUAAUCCUUGAGGGGGCGAAUGUAAUUGUCUGGUGGGAAACCCCCCGCUUUUGGGUUGCUUCUGUGAGGUUUAAUGGGUUAAUAACAUCCUGAGGGGAAUGAUCGCCUUCAUUUUGGGUUAAAAAACCCCAAAAUUAGGGUAAUUAUCAUCCUUGAGUGACAAAAUGUAGUUUUAAGGGGAAAUUUCCCCAUUUCGGGUUCUAGUUUCACAGGUUCUAUGGGAUCUCUGUGGGGUUCUAUGAAAUGCCAGUUGUUUUCCCCCUAAAUACUGCUUCAAUUUGGGGUUAAAAGCCCUAAAAUCAGGGAAAAUGUAAUUCUAGGGGGAAAAGCAGCUCCAGUUUUAGUUACGAAAACCCUAAAACGGGAGAAAAUAUUACUUGAAGGUGGUAGUGGGGGGAACACUGCCCCAGUUUUGGGUUAAAAAGCAUAAAUGAUGAGAAAACAGAAUACAGACGGAGAUAUCCUGCUCUAGUUUGGAGGUAAAACGUCCUAAAAAGAGGAAAAAUGUUGUUCUAAAGGGAAAAUACCACCCCAGAUUUGGGUUAAAACACCUAAAAAAAGGAAAAAUGUGACUAGGUAG